rnacentral:rRNA from 1 species
UACGGAGGAUGCGAGCGUUAUCCGGAUUUAUUGGGUUUAAAGGGAGCGUAGGCGGGCGAUUAAGUCAGUUGUGAAAGUUUGCGGCUCAACCGUAAAAUUGCAGUUGAUACUGGCCGCCUUGAGUACGGUAAAGGUAGGCGGAAUUCGUGGUGUAGCGGUGAAAUGCUUAGAUAUCACGAAGAACUCCAAUUGCGAAGGCAGCUUACCGGACCGGGACUGACGCUGAGGCUCGAAAGUGUGGGUAUCAAACAGG